UACGUAGGGUCCGAGCGUUGUUCGGAAUUAUUGGGCGUAAAGAGCUCGUAGGCGGUUUGUCGCGUCUGCUGUGAAAACUGGAGGCUCAACCUCCAGCCUGCAGUGGGUACGGGCAAACUAGAGUGCGGUAGGGGAGAUUGGAAUUCCUGGUGUAGCGGUGGAAUGCGCAGAUAUCAGGAGGAACACCGAUGGCGAAGGCAGAUCUCUGGGCCGUAACUGACGCUGAGGAGCGAAAGCGUGGGGAGCGAACAGG
rnacentral:rRNA from 1 species